GGGGCUGAUUCUGGAUUCGACGGGAUUUGCGAAACCCAAGGUGCAUGCCGAGGGGCGGUUGGCCUCGUAAAAAGCCGCAAAAAAAUAGUCGCAAACGACGAAACCUACGCUUUAGCAGCUUAAUAACCUGCUUAGAGCCCUCUCUCCCUAGCCUCCGCUCUUAGGACGGGGAUCAAGAGAGGUCAAACCCAAAAGAGAUCGCGCGGAUGCCCUGCCUGGGGUUGAAGCGUUAAAACGAAUCAGGCUAGUCUGGUAGUGGCGUGUCUGUCCGCAGGUGCCAGGCGAAUGUAAAGACUGACUAAGCAUGUAGUACCGAGGAUGUAGGAAUUUCGGACGCGGGUUCAACUCCCGCCAGCUCCACCA
rnacentral:tmRNA from 2 species